AACACACCUUGCAGCCCUUACACAUACAAACACAAUUUCACACAAUGCAUUCCUUACACACAUAUCAGGACAUCCCCUACACACUCCACCCCCUGUGAACAAACUCAUUGGUGGAACAUGAAGGUGGACCCUGGGACCCAGACCUUGAGCUGUGUAAAGGACCCCCAAAAAAUGGAGCUGCUUCCAGUUCUCCCAGAACAUUUUUGUGACCACAGUUACAAACCGCCUCCAGAGAGCCUGUUCUGCACCAGACCAGUGGAGCCAGACUGCAGCUAGAGCCCAUCAUCAUCCUCAUCUGGUUGUAAGUAGGCAAUCUAGUAUAUUAUUCGUGGCACUAAGCUCUAAUUUACCUCACAUUAAAGAAACACUAUAGUCCCCAGAACCACUUCAGCUUAAUGUAGUGGUUCUGGUGUCUAUAGCCUGUCCCUGCAGGCCUUUUAAUGUAAACACGGCGGCACUGCAGCACUGGCGUUAGUUAACAUGGCAAAUCAUAUGGUUGGGGCAUUGUGAUGUCACAUGGGGGGCGGCAAACUUUACUUUUGCCUAGGGCGGCAAAAAUCCUUGUACCGGCCCUGGCUGGAGGGGGAUGUGUGAGCUGUGGCCGCACAGUGUCCCAUGGUAGUUAGGGUGCCGUGCGGCCAGUACAGCUCACUCAAGCAAACAGCUGAUAAACUGGCCGCACGGAGGAAAUGUGUAUGUGUGACUGUCUGUCUGUAACUGAGUGUGUGACUGUCUGUCUGUAACUGAGUGUGUGACUGUCUGCCUGUAAAUGUGUGUGUAGGGCUGCAGGGAUUUUGUAGAAGGGGGUGGGGGUUUUGUAUUGGGACAGGAGUCUUUAUAAGGGGGGAUAAGCAGGGGAUUUGUGGAAGGGGGUUGCGGGGGUUUUGUAGAUGGGGCAGUACAGGAUUUGUAGAAGGGGCAGGACAGAGGUUUUGUAGGAGGGGCAGGGCAGGACAAGG